AAUUUUAAUGCAUUUCAAUAGAUCGACGGAUUGGUUCUAUCGAUAAGAUAAAGGUUUAUGUUGGACGAGCUCUCAUCCAGUAGAAAGCGAAUAUAGAUCGAGUGGUUUUAGUGCUAGGUCAGCAUGCAAGCUCUCUAAAUAGACUUUGGCUUGUUAUUUUGUAUAACCGGUGUACAACAAUCGUAAUAUCCAAAGAGAGAAACCUAUCGAACAAGUUUUUAUUCGUAUUCAUUUCUUCAAUAUAUUCAAAAAUGUGAUUAUUGAAAAAUAUGAUAUUAAUAUAUGAAAUUGAUUUAAUAGUAUUUAACGAAGAUUAAUCAAUACUUAUUAGCAGUGCCAUAAAAAUAUAGAGUAAAUAAAUGCGUUUAUAUAUUGAACCUUAGUUUAAAAUAGGAUCAUUUCUUAGUGGGACAUAAAUAACUUAGACACGAUUUAAUCUGGCGCGACACCGCAAGAUUAUAUCGUAUCGCAGAUCGGCUUUUAUUUUUCAUUUUCUUUUAUUCGAAACAUUGUAAUGUAAUAAGUACGAUACUUGCGACAACUCGAAUCAUUAUUUUAAUCGAAAGGAUUUACUUAUACGUAAAUAAUAGUAAUAAAAUGACUAAUACGUACGUAGUUACGACGAAUUACAACACUGACCUUAUUUAAAUAUUUUAAUGAGUAUUAUUUAUAUUCAUGGUUUAGAAAAAAAAAAAAAUAACCAAUUAUAGUAAUUCACUUUCUCUCUCUCUCUCUCUCUCUUUUUUUCUUUUUUUUUUAAUGUCGAAAUCGCAUAUAUUAUAUAUUAUGAAAUAAUUCCGUUACUUUCGAUCAUUCGAGUCAAUAAAAAUAUUCGUUGCUACAUUCCACGAGAUACUUACAUACGAUCUUAUAAUCAAGGCCGCAACAUUCGUCGUUCUGUUUAUUAAUUGAACCACGUUCAUCUCUUGUUGAUCGUUCUUUAUUUUAAACAAGAAGGCUAGUUCACUAUCGUGAGUGAAUACGCAAUUGCAAGAGAGCUCGGACGAUCCGGUUUAAUUGCAUCCACCUGUCUCGUCGACUAAACCGCAUAGUGUACCGUGGUUUAGAGACCCGGUUCUCAUCCUUGAGCUUGCGAUCGACUUUAACAAAGCGGACUUAGGAAGACAAUCGUUGUAUAGUCAUUUAAUUAUCAUCGCGAUAUAAAGGUAAAAGAAUUCGCAGUCAGCUGGGAGCGGGAAAUGGCUCGUUGCACACGGAGGAAGUCGGGGCGCCUCGACAUUGACAUCACGUUUCAAGGUCACACGUAGGCCGUAACAGAGAAACAUGCAUACGCAUCUCGUGACGUAACUCGGUACAAGCCUGUAAUCUAAGACCGCCUCUAGUGCCUUCGUAAUUAGUGCACAGUUACGUGACAGCUAGAAAAGUGAUUGUGGCCAUCCUGAUCUCCCUUGCAAAUGAGAAUAAUUUUCGUAUUGUGCGCAAAACCGACUAUCUUUUGUGAUAUCGUCAUCGAUAAAAUGAAUUAUUCAUAAGAAUUGUAUAUCUACGUAUUGUGUUGAUCCUCUUUUUUUAUUGUUUUGUUUCCUUUUCUAUUUUUUUUUUUCUUCUUCUUCUUCUUUUUUUAGAAAUUCAUCUCGUAAUGCGCUCGUGUCAAGCGUUAAACAACGAAACGAAUUAUGACAAUUAAUAAAGGAGGAAAUAUAAAUAUCUAUUUGUAAUCGAACGAUCGACUUUACAUUCGCUUCGACAAUUAUUAACGUGACCUUUAAUUUCAUAGUACAAAAGUAUCGUACUUAUAAUAUCUUUUUUUAAUGUUAAACGCACGAACGAAAAGCUUUAUUUAGCGAUUUACAAAUAAAUACUUAGAAGAAGAAUGUAAGAACUCUUGUUGUGUUGUCAGUUAAAGGAUUCGAGUUAACUGGUUUUUUAAAAAGUGAGUUCAUACGCGUCGUAUAAAGAAUUUGAAAUACGCGGCAUAAAAUAUUCCGUAUCGUUCUAAAUACAAUUUUAAAGAGAUUCCGCGUUGAACAGUCUAAAGAAUCUGGCAUAUCGCCGGAUACCACCUUCGUGAUCUCAUCGAAUACAGUUAAUUAACGUGCGAAUCGGCACGUAAGUUAAUCGCACUCGACGAAAGCGGAAUUCGAUCUCGAACGAUAUAUACGAUGUAGUAAUGAGAGUAAUUAUUAUUCAUGGUAUGGUAUAUCGAAGUACAUUGAACUAUCGUUUCUCGUAAAUUCGUAUUGGUAAUAAACAUUUAUCGUAAUUUCUAAUUAUCCUCUAUGCGUAUAGGUAGACUACUAGCAUAUAUUACUAUAGUAUUACGUGGAUGAACGUUCGAAUCGAUAUCGAAACAUCGAUAAUUACAUACGCGAUAUUACGUUAACUUCCGUAUACAUAUAGAUAUAAUAAUGUAAUAUUUUUUAAAUAUUUUAAAACCUUGUAUAUUUAUGUUUUACAUGUGAUAAGUGCACGUUAAUAUCUACUUUUUUUUUCUUUUUUAUUCCUCUUUAUCGAUGACUCUUUUUUAAUGUAACUGUAAAGUCAACAGUACCGGUGAUAAAGUUUUAUGAAAAGAGAGCGAGUUUGAGAAGAAAAAGAUAGCUGUUUUGCUGGACGACGUAAAGAACGUUUAAUGCAGGUCACGACAGUUUGAUAUAUCGCGAACGUAAAUCGCGGGAAAGAUAAAAAAGCGGGUGUUCCGUGGAUCCGCUUUUGCGAGACCUUGGGAAAAAAGAGAAAGAGAAAGAGGAGGAGGUGGAGCUGAAAGUGGAGAUGGAGGUGGAGGUAGAGCUGGAGGAAUGGUCUCUCUCUCUCUCUCUCUCUCUUUUUCUUCUUUUCUUUUCUCUUUCUCUUGUAUUUCUUUCUCUUUUUCUAAGAAGUGAAAGAAAUCGAUCGUCGGCGCCUGCAGCAGGAAGACACGCGCAACAUAGCUGUGAGUCGAAUAUCGGUCUGCAUAACUGUAGGCGUGACUUUAAGCUCUGGAAUUGCUCCAACUACGAAUCGUCAAUGCAUCUACGAUUCACCAACGGAGUACGAAUUGUGGCUAUUAAAGCCGAAAGAAAAGCUAUUCGCCUUUUGUCAGAGUUUAUUCUGUGCAUCGUUCUUUAUUCGAUUCGUAUCCACACGAGAAAUCGAUAAUAUCUAUUUUUGUGAUCUCAUUAAUCUUCUGUAAUCUCAUAUGACUUCUUGAGCUCACAUAUAUACAUCUAUGUGUAUAUUUUUCAAGUUUUAUUUUAUUUCAUUUAUAUAAAUUUAAUUCUUAGUUCAUAUCUAAAGUUUUUAAUAUUUUCUUCUUUCUUUAAGUUCAAUUAUAUUACAUUAUACUAAUCGUAAGUAAUAUUAUGAUUUUUAUAUUGUAUAAUUCUUUUUUUUUUUUUUUUUGUAGAAACGACGAAAAAUUAGAUUGCAGAAGGUUGCGUCUUAUGUAAUGUUCUUUUUUUUUCAUUGUUAUACUGUAACUAUAAUUAUACUAUGUGUACUAAGUGAUAUUAUAAUUUUUACAUUAUGCAUAUGUAUAUAUAUAUAUAUAUCUUUUUUUGUAGAAAUGAGAAGAAAUUAAAUUAUAGAAGGUUGCAUCUUACGUAAUGUUUUUUUAGACUAUAAUUAUAUUAUACUAAAUGAUAUUAUAAUUUUUACAUUAUGUAUAUAUAUAUAGAUAUUUCUUUUUGUAGAUAUAACAAAAAAUUGGGUUAUAUAGGGUUUACGAAGAAGGGAAGAAAAUUAGACAAGUUAUAGUAUUACAUUUCUAUAAAUAAAAUGGUCAAAUGUUUUUUUUUUUCGACCGUUUUUUUUAACAUUGAACGCUUUAAUGAUCCUUGUGUUUUAUUUCUCUCUCUCUCUCUCUCUCUCUCUCUCUCUUCCUCCCUUUUUUUAUCUUUUUAAGCAAUAAAUUACGAGUGACUCAACGCGACACGUAUAUAUUUGAGUUAUCGUUUCAAGUAUCCGAUAAGACGUUUUGUUUUUAACGUUUAGAAAACGAACAAGGCCAAGGUGUAGAGUUAUCGUACGAAGUAUCGUAUAGCGAACGUAAAACCACCACAUGAUCGAUUAAGUCGAAUCAAAGCUUCGCUGUUUUUAAAGGAAGAAAGAAAAAAGAGAAGUAGAGGGGGAAAGAUUUAGAAAAUCCGUUCACUUGCUCGCUCCAUUAGCCUUUCUUUGCAUAGUGUUCGCAUUAACCUUAAUUGAUCGCUAAAAGCCAUUAAGCUAUACCGAUUGCACGAGUUAACGUGACGUAACGUGCAUCACUGAGAUUAAAA